GGGGUUGACUGGUUUUGACAGCGAGAUGAAGUGGUUUGUAAGCAUGCGGUGCGUAGUCGGCUGGCACUUUAAUCUCAGACGUCAAAAUUUUAACUGGCGAAAAUAAUUACGCUCUUGCUGCUUAAUCGAAGUAUAGUAGAUAUAGCUUAAUCCCUGUACAAGGUACGGGGACAAGACAUCACCCGGAGGCUGUGGCUCCGAAGCGCUUCGAAGCGGUGGUGUAGGUAAAUCGGAGAUAGGAAAGGAGAAGCUUUGGCUCCUUUUCGAAAUAAAAAAGCUAAGGUUUGGGUUGGUGGCUUCGGUCUUGCCCACUCCCUACAAUGAAGACGAAGAUAAGCAUGUAGAAAGCAAAUUAGUUCCUUGUUUGGACGAGGGUUCGAAUCCCUCCAGCUCCACAA
rnacentral:tmRNA from 2 species